CGAAUACCAGGCCGCGCAAGUACUCAGCAUUCGCAGGUCCCGUUCUCUUGACCAUCUUGGAGAAGGCACUCUCUUCGUUUGAUAGGAGUUUGUCUGGGGAGUCAUGUUCCAGGACCUAAAUGGAGAGGACGAAAGUUAUGAGUUUUAAGUACUCGGAAAAUUGGUAAAAUAUUAUUGUAUGAGCCCGAUACAAUCUUCCUCUCACAAAAUGCACGUGGAACCGUUGUUACAUAGCGGAACUUAAAUGCAUAUCCUGAGAGGGAGGUUAUAUAUGACGGGCUCAUACAAGGAUUCCUGCUUGCAUUAAAGUGAGGGCACAUACCUGACCGGCAUCCAGAACCAGAAUUCGAUCACAGUCAGUUAUGGUAUUUAAUCUGUGAGCAAUAACGAGCAUGGUGCACGAUUUGAACUCUUCGCGAAUGGUUUUCUGGAUAAGAGCAUCAGUCCCAACGUCGACAGCAGCAGUUGCUUCAUCAAGAACAAGAAUCUUUGAUCUUCGCAGCAAUGCUCUAGCAAGACUUAUUAGUUGCCUAAACCCUAAAGUUUUCGCCUCCUUCGGAAACCUUGAUGCAAGAAAGACAGGUUAAAACUUACUAGUAAAUUGUCAGUUUUCAAUGCUCACUUAAGCAGCUUCAACUUAACAGAUGUACUUAUACCUCAGCAUCCAGACCGAGAGAUGAUGACAUCCCUUAGAUGUGCCCUCUAGAGCUUCCCAAAGGUCAGCGUCGCUAUGCUCGCUGAAGGGAUCAAGGUUAAACCGCACGGUUCCUGGACGAGAGAUGAUGGAAAUCAAUUAGAAUGCUGCAUUUUAUGUAUAUAGGUUGAACAUGUCAGCUCAAUCAAAGUACAUAUAGUUUAACUUCAACUCCUGUGCCGAUUUAUAGAACAUCGUGAAAAAAAUAUGAAGUGACAAAUAGUCCCAUUUUUAAGAGAGUCUCCUUAGCAUUAGUAGGCGUGAAGUUUUGUCCAAAGUUCAAUGCAAAAUGUGGAAACCCACAUAAUCUUGUAUACUGCAAGUUUGCAGAUCGUGGGAGGGAUAACAUGAGUAUUUACGGUGUAUCAUAAUUUGUGUUGCUUGCUUUGUACUUAAAUACUUUGCAAAACAAUAAAAAACAAGUCACGCGGACUCAAACAUUCAAUUUUUUGAAACAUUUUUAUUGUCGAGAGAGAGUGAGAGUCAAACAUUCAAGUUCAAAUUGACGAAUUUGAUACCUAAUUAUUAUGAUUGGACAUGAAGUGUUCAAAUUGACGAAUUUAAUAUCUAAUUAUUAUAAUUGGACAUGAAGUGUGACACAAAUACAGAGUAAUCGUGUCAAUGAUUCAACUUCAUAUGAAAAAAGAAAUGCACGUGUUGUUAAAUUAAGGACACCUGAUGCUACAAUAUCGUAUGCUACCGUUAAGAGUCACCUCUGCGGACCACAGGAGGAUACAUCCUCCUUCUCAGGUGCUUGCAAACCGCUUCACUACUAUUAUAUGUUGUACAGAAUCAAAAGACAAUGAAUUACUGGAGAUAAAAAAUACUUCCCUGUAGCUUAAAACCCAAAACCUCAUUCAGCUAUGUAUUUUACCCUUUGGAUUCCGGCAAGUAGCUUGAUACAGCGGGAAGACAACGGAAAAAUGGCAAAAAAAAUUUGGACCAUUUCUCGAUUUAUGCGUGUCAUCCUUGCGCAGGGGCCAUGCUAAUCUUCUCUGUAUCGUUCCAAUUUUAUCGGAUGUCCCCGAAGGGACAAACAGUGUUAUGGAGAAAACGUAUAUAAAGCGUUGAAGAAGAGCAUGACUGACCGAUGUGGGACAAGUGUUGCCUUGUUUUCAAGGCUCAGUUUUCCUUCUUUACUAGUCAGGAGUGAGGCCCCAGCCCAAUCUCCCUCAGACAGACCCAAUAGGGCUUUUUCUUCGUGGGUUGGAUUCAAUUUAUUAAAUUUAAGUUACAAUCUUCCUUUUUUUAAAGAAGCCCAAAUAAGAAGAAAAACACAGAUAUCAAACACGAACAUAAACCUUUCGCCCCUUUUGAUAUCCAAAUGGUCAAUGUGGUGGAUCAAACUUCCAACUUCUAAUUUUUAUUACAAUUUUCAAGUUUUCAUUGCUUACUAGAAAAGAGUAAAAUAUAGAAUUGGUCCAUGAAAGGACAAAUGUUGCACGUUUUGGUAAAAUAAGGAACAUAAAAUAACGAAAAAUUAGUUCAAGGACAAAAUCUAAACUCUGCUGCGAGUUCAGAGAUGAAUUCUAUAAUGCAGUUCGUUGAUACUUCUUUUCACUCGUAAAUGUGAAGUCUUAAUUCAAUUCAUAUUAAUACUAUUCCAUACUUGAAUUUUGAAUACUAUAAUCAUAUUAGAACACCACAUUAUAAAAAGAGAGAUGAAUUCAAAACUUAAAAAGUCAUUCAAAAAAUAAACUUUGGAACUUUAGAAAACCCUAGUAUUAUUUUCAAUUCAAUUCAUGGUAUUAUUAUUUUUCAAUAUUUUGCAGCAAACCCUAGUAAUGGUAAAUACAUUUUAUUUAUUAUUAUUAUUAUAACUACUACUACUAUUACUAUUAAGGAGAGAGAUGAUGAUUCAAAACUAUUACAAUAAUAUCAGAGACUAGAGUUUUGAACUGAGAAAUCAGGACGUAUAGGUAGAAAUUCAACACCCUAUCCACUAAAAUAUUAGACCCCUCCAUCGUCAAAGCCUAGAAACACCACAUAUCAUGCUUUCUUAGUACCUAAGAAAUAGAAGUUACUACAACUUUUUUUUUUUGUUUAAUUACACGACUAAAAUACUUGAGAGAGGAAAAAAGUAGAGAAAAAGCGAACAGCAGAAAGAAGAUACAGCACGACUGGGUGACGCAUCACCCUUAGGACAAGUUAUUGGUCAGCAAAGUGCUUUUUAAAAAGGAAAUAGAAAGAAUAAUAAAAGAAUGACAUUACCACACACACUGCACGCAAGCUGGAAAAAUUGUAGUUGAGAGCUUUUAAGAACAAGGCCACCUAACAUCUUUGUUUUUUUUCUUUUCCAAAGGGUAAAUUUAUUAUAAUCGAAUAGAAAAGGUAAAUUUAUUAUAAUCGAAUAGAAAGAUUAAUAUCUUGUGCCAAUAUUAAACAAAAAUUCUGAACUAAUACAAUCCUAUACAAAAGACUUUAUCUCUUAAACACAAACUUAGUCACCGAGUGAGCCGCACUUUUGCUCUCUCUAGGCACGAAGGCAAAAGUCACAGACCUCAUACUUCGCAUCAGAACCUCAAUGUCACCAAGCAUGCAUUCAAGGCAAUAAUCGUACUGCACCUCCUUCCUUAACAUCUGGAUAAGAAAUAGAAGUCACAAAUCUCAUCAAAUACCCUCUCCAUUCUCAUGCUGCAAGAAGAGGAGCACAAUCUGCAGAAAAAAAUACGAGAAACUUGACAAAAGGCUGCAAAGGGAGUUGGAUUCAUUAGUUGGGAUGGAGAAAAGGAGCACUGCCGAAGGCAAGUACUCCUGUUUAUGCCCUAAGCAUCCAUUGUCGCUUAAGCGUGAGUGGACAGCGAGAAGGCUAAAUAUCUGAACUCGGCCCAGGUUAGUAAGGCCAUGACGUUGGAAAACCUGAAAACCAGCCUUCCUAAUGUAUUCCAAGCGUUAAUGACGUCUUCAAGUCUAUGUGGAAGCCAUUGAGUCUGGUUGUGGGCACAUUAAACCAGCUGAUGGUUUUGAUUCGACUUCUGAAAUUGCACUGCCCUCAACUUCAUAGAUUUAUACUGGGGGGGCUAGCUGGUUAUCAACGUAGUUGAAGAUGUUAAUCAUAACAAUCCUGAGGAUUUUGUUAGAUUGGCUGAUCUUAAUUGCUUUUUUAAGAUGCAGUUAGUGCUGUAUUGCCCUAGUAACCAUUUCUGUCCCAAGAAACUAGAGAAGGGGAUGGGGGAACGUUUAUAAAUCACAUCGGAAUGAAGUUUGCAACUUUGAUUACUGUCUUCGGAAUCAUUUGAAUCUAAAAUUAGUAAAAGAAUGUCAAAGUAAUACUAAGCAGUACGCAUACUUGCAGAAAGAACUGAAACAUUUUUCCUUCGAAAAUAUAGAUUUACUGUUGUUCAUGACAACUUAUGGAUUGUAGUUAUAAGCAGAGAUGAUAACUCCUUUCUGCUUGUUGCAAUUUGGACAUCUGAAAAUCCUUGGCCUAUACAAAUAUGAAACAUUUCUUGCUCUCUGUUCAAAUCCAAUCUAUUUCUUUGUUUUCAAAGUCGUCUUCUAACGGCUGAAGUCUGUUGUGAGCCAGCCUGCCCAUCACAGCCAUACCUGAAACAAAAAGCCAAUAUUUGAUGACGAAAAAUCGAAAGGAAGUUGAUUUCCGCACAUCCCUUUGGGACAAAAUGCUUGUGCGAAAAUCAUUUCCCGAAACAAAAAAAAAGCACAUCUAAAUUUAAGACACUAGAAUGCGCCCCUCUUGACGCAACUAUCUCCUAUUGUUCAGUCCACGCUAUAUCGUUUGUGUUUUUUGUGUGAUUGCGAUUUUAUGAUCUCUAUCUCGUUGAACCAUUUUCAGUAUCAAAAUACACAGUUUUGUACUUCUAUGUAUUACAAUGUAUAGGUACAUGAGUUCAGGAUUUUACCUUCUACUACUCUGAAGAAAGCCGACCACCAUCCUUCCCUUGGUAUAUGGUGUUGAUUCAGUGUGUCGUCUAUCUCUUUGUCAUGCUUCCCUUCCAAAACUCCCUGAAGUGUUAUUACUGCAUCAUUUGUUUUCAUGAUGAUAUUGUUUUUGUCUUCAAUGUCCAUUCCUCGAAGGUCGUUUUGCGAAGAAGUGAGACUAACAGCUAAGGCUAACUGGGCAGCAGCGGCCCAGCGCGAAGAGGCUAACCAUCCCCUCUGGCUCUGACCAGCCAGCUGCUUCGUUCGGUCUCUAACGAACUUAUGCUGUUUACCUCCAAAUACCAGGCCGCGCAAGUACUCAGCAUUUGCAGGUCCCGUGCUCUUGACCAUCUUGGAGAAGGCACUCUCUUCGUUUGAUAGGAGUUUGUCUGGGGAGUCAUGUUCCAGGACCUAAAUGGAGAGGACGAAAGUUAUGAGUUUAGGUACUCGGAAAAUUGGUAAAAUAUUAUUGUAUGAGCCCUAUACAAUUGUCCUCUCACAAAAUGCACGUGGGAACCGUUGUUACAUAGCGGAACCUAAAUGCAUAUCCUGAGAGGGAGGUUAUAUGUGACGGGCUCAUACAAGGAUUCCUGCUUGCAUUAGAGUGAGGGUAUAUACCUGACCGGUAUCCAGAACCAGAAUUCGAUCACAGUCAAUUAUGGUAUUUAAUCUGUGAGCAAUAACGAGCAUGGUGCAUGAUUUGAACUCUUCGCGAAUGGUUUUCUGGAUAAGAGCAUCAGUCCCAACGUCGACAGCAGCAGUUGCUUCAUCAAGAACAAGAAUCUUUGAUCUUCGCAGCAAUGCUCUAGCAAGACUUAAUAGUUGCCUCUGCCCAACGCUAAAGUUUUCGCCUCCUUCUGAAACCUUGAUGCGAUAAGAUAGGUUAAAACUUACUAAUAAAUUGUCACUUUUCAAUGCUCACUUAAGCAGCUUCAACUUAACAGAUGUACUUAUACCUCAGCAUCCAGACCGAGAGAAUUCCGCCUAAUGACAUCCUUUAGAUGUGCCCUCUCUAGAGCUUCCCAAAGGUCAGCGUCGCUAUGCUCGCUGAAGGGAUCAAGGUUAAACCGCACAGUUCCUAGACGAGAUGAUGGAAAUCAAUUAGAAUGCUGCAUUUUAUGUAUAUAGGUUGAACAUGUCAGCUCAAUCA
rnacentral:lncRNA from 1 species